AUGAUCUCGUUAACGGACACAUAAAAAAUUGGAAUGGGAUUAACAGGAUUUGGAGUGUUCUUCCUGUUCUUUGGAAUGAUCCUCGUUUUUGACAAAGCACUACUGGCUAUUGGAAAUGUUUUAUUUGUGGCUGGCUUGGCUUUUGUAAUUGGUUUAGAAAGAACAUUCAGAUUCUUCUUCCAAAAACAUAAAAUAAAAGCUACAGGAUUUUUCCUGGGUGGUGUGUUUGUGGUCCUGAUUGGUUGGCCUUUGAUAGGCAUGAUCUUUGAAAUUUAUGGAUUCUUUCUCUUGUUCAGGGGCUUCUUUCCUGUGGUUGUUGGCUUUAUUAGAACAGUGCCAGUCCUUGGAUCCCUCUUGAACUUACCUGGAAUUAGAUCGUUUGUAGAUAAAGUCGGAGAAAGCAACAAUAUGGUAUAACAACCAUUGAAUUGAAGACUCAUUUAAAAUAUUGUAUUAUUUAUAAAAUCCUUUGAAGAAUAUUCAGCACAAAAUUAAAUUACCUGAAAUAGCUUGUAAUGUUCUUUACAGAAGUUUAAAAGGUAUAGCCUACAAAGUACCAACAACAGUUAACAAAGAAGCGAUGAAAACAGGCUUCUAACCAAGUCAUCUAAGAGGUCAGCAAGCAAACCGAAGGAGGUGAAAUCUAUGUUACAUGCAUAUUGAAACUUUUAAAGGCCAUUUUUAUUAUUUUUCUACAAUGUGUGAAACACAGCCAUCCAUAGAGAACUGUAAUCCCUAUUUCUUUCCUUCUUAUCUUCAAGAUGCAAGCAUAUCCAUAGGCAUUUGCUUUUUAGAAGUGUCCACUGCAAUGGCAAAAAUAUUUCCAGUUGCACUGUGUCUCUGAAAAUGAUGCAUGAGUUAGAUUGGAUUAUGUCAUUUUAAUCUAUUAAAACCAGGAAAACCCA